rnacentral:rRNA from 1 species
GAUCCUGCCGGACCCGACUGCUAUCGGAUUGAGAUUUAGCCAUGCGAGCUUCGAUAACGCCCUCUGAGUGCAGGGGAUGCAGUGGUGCAUACGGCUCAGUAACACGUAGUCAACCUGCCCUAGAGAUGUGGACAACCCCGGGAAACUGGGUGUAAUUCACAAUAGGUCACCUCAUCUGGAAGGAGAGAUGGCUGAAAGGGAUUUUGCGAGCUUCUUUCGCAUCAUCUGCUCUAGGAUGGGACUGCGGCCGAUCAGGCUGUUGGCGGGGUAAUGGCCCACCAAACCUUUUACCGGUACGGGCUUUGAGAGAAGGGGCCCGGAGAUGGACACUGAGACAAGGGUCCAGGUCCUACGGGGCGCAGCAGGCGCGAAACCUUCGCAAUGCGCGAAAGCGUGACGAGGUUAGUCCGAGUGGCUUCCGCUGAGGAGGUCUUUUGUCGGCUGUAAAAAGGCCGGCGAAUAAGGGGAGGGCAAGUCUGGUGUCAGCCGCCGCGGUAAUACCAGCUCCUCGAGUGGUCGGGGCGAUUAUUGGGCCUAAAGCAUCCGUAGCUUGUUCCGUAGGUCUCCUGAUAAAUCCAACUGCUCAACAGUUGGCCCGCAGGAGAUACCGCGGGACUAGGAGGCGGGAGAGGUGGACGGUACUCCACGUGUAGGGGUAAAAUCCUUUGAUCCGUGGAAGGCCACCAGUGGCGAAGGCGGUCCACCAGAACGCGCUCGACGGUGAGGGAUGAAAGCUGGGGGAGCGAACCGGAUUAGAUACCCGGGUAGUCCCAGCCGUAAACGAUGCGAGCUAGAUGAUCCAGUCGCAAAUCGCGAUUGGAGUGUCGCAGGGAAGCCGUUAAGCUCGCCGCCUGGGGAGUACGGUCGCAAGGCUGAAACUUAAAGGAAUUGGCGGGGGAGCACCACGAAGGUGGUGAAGCUCUGCGGUUC